rnacentral:lncRNA from 1 species
GGGAACACUCAGCCCACUGCCUUUUGUGGUACUGAGCGCUGCUCCUGAGCGGGGCCCCUCCCGGCAGCGGGAAUGGCUAUCUUCUUCCCUGUGGCCAGCGCACAUGCGCUCGUAGGGAGGGAAAUAUACAGUUUUGUCUGGCGAUUUUGCUGUCACACAAAUGGAGUCAUACAUAUUUCAUGGGUUGUCUGCAGCUUGCUUUUUAUAUUUAACACAGUGUCUCGGGAGCUCUCCCUGUUGGCACAUGCAGCCUGACCUCGUUUUUUUUGAUAGCUGUAGAUUCUUCUCUCUUAUGGGUGAUACUGCUGUGUGGCAGGCUCUCUCGCUAGGAAAAAAAAAUGGACUUGUUUCUUCUUCUCUCCUUUAAUCAUUUUUUCCUAUUUCCCAAGUGCAGGCAUGUGUCAUAAUCAGGACUCCCCACCGGCCACGCGGGCCAACUCUGCCUUUGCUAUGUCUGCCACUGCAAGAAGUCAUCUGUCUGCUUUUACAGUUUCCUCCCAGUUUUAGGGAAGAAAAGUAAUAUCUCAUGGUCGCGUUCACCAACGUCCCCCUGAUUAAUGGUGAAGCCAGUACCGGUUUUCAAGCUUGUCUAUCUUCAGAUGACUUUCUUUACCUCACAGAAUGUUCCCGGUGUUUGUGACACACCUCAGCCUGUCCCAGGGGACAGCCUGUCUCCUGACUCCCAGCCCCCGACUGCUUGUGUUUUCUGUCUCCCGAGUGUCUCCACUGCUCUGCCGAGCAGUCUCCUUGUCACAUGUAACUUGUGUCUGCAAGUCCAAUUGCCAUCACUCUCCAUUGUCAAACACCAAUGUUUAAAACUGUUCUCUGUUCCCAGGGAGUUUCACACGGCCUGUCAAAUCCACGGGAGAUUGGAUUGCCACCUGAUUGGGAUUCCGCUGUGUGGACAGAUCGCUGUGGAAGACUGUGGUGGUUCACAGCCUUUCCUCACAGAAGAACCGGGCAUCUCUGUCUCCACUUGCUCAGAUCUUCUUUUAUGCCGCAGUAGAGUUUACAGCCAUCCACAGCAUGGGUUCUGUCUGCGUGUCUGUUGGAUUUAUUUUCCUUAGGGGGCUUCAGCUUCUCUGGCCACUGUCAACAGGCAGCUGCUUUUACAUGGUAGAUUUGUAGGCCUGCCCUGCCCUGACUGCAUCAGUAAGCUCUCUUGAGUUUUCCUUGCUCCCCACACCCUCUGGUUCUCUAGACCUCAUUGUAUUCUCAGUGAGCCACAAUAUCAUUUGACCCGGUACCUGCAGUUUUUUUUUUUUAAUACUGUACUGACCUAGCUCCUUGUGAGGAUUAGAAGUGGGGUGUGGGUAUCCUCAUGUUGCUCCAACUUUAACGAGGUCCUCAGAUGCCGCUCAGAGCACAGCUUUCUCUGUUCCUACUUCCUAAGGAAUCCCCAGGCCGGCUGGGGUGAGUUAUCAAAUGCUACUUGGGUGUGUCCUAAACCUCUGCCUUUUCUACCUGAGUGAAUUAUAGCAACGACCUCAGUGGAUUCCGAACAUCAGGUGCCCAUGUAGUAAUUUCUGUCGUCAUCCUCCUCCCUCAGGGUCCUGGCUUCUCCAGGCUGACCCUACUUUCCCAAGCUCGUAUCUCCUUCUUACAAAUGUCUCAGCUUCGGCAGGUAGAGGGUGGUCCCUGCUCUGCCCGUGGUGCCUGGUUGCCUUUCUGGUGUCUAGAUGUAUACUUUCUACGAUGUGCACAUAUCCACUCACACGAGUUCAUGGGUUUGAAAGUUUACCCACGUGGCAAAGUGGCAGCGAUAGUGGCAGCUUCCUUUUUUUUUUUUUUUUCAAGCAACAUCCAACUUUCUUAGUGUGGUGGUUGAUGGCAAUCCAGCUAGCUUUAGCUGACUGGGUCAAGAAGGCAUGGCGUCUCAUCUCUUCCCAGGGAUGGGACUCUCAGCCUGUCUCUUCUGCCUGACGGGCAGCAAUGUCUGAUGCCCCGCUGCGUGUUUGCCACCUGGAGUCUGCGAAUGCAGGCCCUCAGGACAACACCCUCUGGCUGGGAGGGCAACCUUGGACCCUUGGGGUUCGUAUGGACAGAGCUCCGAACAGUUCUUGGUAGGUGACAGGUGUUUGGUGAACCCAACCCGCGAGCGUGCUGAACGAUCAUGAUUAAGAAGCGAGCGGGCUGUCUCGAUGGUAAUGUCAAUUUACCCUCCAGCCAGAACUUCUCAGAGCUUCCGGUUCCACGGAUUCACAGCAGCACUUGGGAACCCACGUAUCUCACGCCACCGCCAUGUGUGCUGACAGCCUUGUUCUGGCUCUCCCUCCUGCUGCAUGUCUCCAUCCCUGAACCGUAACUUGUUCCCUUUAGAGACCUGAGCUUUACAACUGUGCCGUGCCAAGUGCUGCUCAGAGCUCUGUUGACAUGGACCUCAAGAGACCACAACACCUCCUUCCAAGCUUCUGUCCCACCUACAGGGUCUUGACAUCCAGAAGGGAAGAUCUCAUUUGUCUUCAGGCAUAUCUUGACUAUUUUCGGACCACGGCUAUUCAAUAAUCUAAGAGAGAAAGAGAGAGUCAACUACACUGACUAAGCCAGUUAAGUGUAUAUAUGAGCCCUUUAAUUUUGACUGGCAACCAAGAGUGGGCUAAUGUCUCAGAGUCUUUUCAUGCUGAAUAUCAGGGGCACAGAAUUUUUAAAAGACAAAACCCAUGAGGAUCAGGGUGACUUUAAAGCAUUCAUUCUUGACAGAGCAUAAGCGAUUGUUUCAGACAAAAAUAAUGGCAACUAUUUUUGAUGUAUACCUUCUUCAUUUAUCCUAGUUGAUAUUGUUUGUAUAAAUGUUAUUUUAGUUACUAUAUCUGACCACGGUCAAGGUCAUGGAAAUCUCAAGUGUUGCCAAGGCAGAGGGGAGAAGAGGGCUGAGAACUAAGCAAACACAAAUGGAGUCAGAACAAGAUGGCCUUACCUUGGUCACUUCACUAUGAUCUAUUAAUUUUAUGAACUAGCUUGGACUAGAUUGAAAACUCAUUUAAUCUUUGUAUUAACUUAAAGAGAAUUUUCAUUAGCAGUGACUCUUUCCAUCCGUGGAGAUGGUUUAUCUGUUCCUAUAUUAAAGUCUUCCUUCAAGCCUUCCACCACAGUCUAGCUGUUCCCUUCCAAGCCAACAUUGCUACUGUAACCUUGGGAACGGUGAUUUGUUCUCACAUCUGGCUUCUUAUUACAUCACCUUUACUAUCUAUCUCUCAUUUUUGCUAUUUCUUAUGCUGAAUUUAUUUUCUUCAACUCACUGGACUCCGGUGGAUUCUAAUUGUUUUCAGUAGAUUACAUUGAAAAUUGCACAGCUUGGGAUAAGGCAGGAGAGAUGUCUCAGUGACUAAGAAUGCUGACUGCUCUUGUAGAAGAUCUGGGUUCAGUUCCCAGCAUCUGCAUGGUGGCUCACAACCCUCUGUAACUCCAGUACCAAGGGAUCCAAUACUCUCUUUGGCCUCUGCAUGCACCAAACAUGCGCAUGGUACACAAACGUACA